GAUGAACGCUGGCGGCGUGCCUAAUACAUGCAAGUCGAGCGAACAGACGAGGAGCUUGCUCCUCUGACGUUAGCGGCGGACGGGUGAGUAACACGUGGAUAACCUACCUAUAAGACUGGGAUAACUUCGGGAAACCGGAGCUAAUACCGGAUAAUAUAUUGAACCGCAUGGUUCAAUAGUGAAAGACGGUUUUGCUGUCACUUAUAGAUGGAUCCGCGCCGCAUUAGCUAGUUGGUAAGGUAACAGCUUACCAAGGCAACGAUGCGUAGCCGACCUGAGAGGGUGAUCGGCCACACUGGAACUGAGACACGGUCCAGACUCCUACGGGAGGCAGCAGUAGGGAAUCUUCCGCAAUGGGCGAAAACCUGACGGAGCAACGCCGCGUGAGUGAUGAAGGUCUUCGGAUCGUAAAACUCUGUUAUUAGGGAAGAACAAAUGUGUAAGUAACUAUGCACGUCUUGACGGUACCUAAUCAGAAAGCCACGGCUAACUACGUG
rnacentral:rRNA from 1 species